GGAAUGUAGCUCAGUGGUAGAGUGCAUGCCUGGCAUGCAUGGGGCCCUAGGUUCAAUCCCUAGCACUUCCA
rnacentral:tRNA from 1 species